AUUCAAGAGAAGCUGGCAUGGGCUGUUGCCUAGCAACAGCAUGCAGUGCACUUUUCUACCAGCCCGUGAAAAUGCUGUCUCUGGACCUCAUGCCAUUUAGCACCAUGGUUUUGUAAAUGAUGACAAUCUCUUAGGAACUUUUCUUUCCUCUAUUUAAAUGAGUGCCUGAGGAAGACUAUUUUAGUACUCAUUCCUUCAACUUAAAUAUUGCACUUGGCUUAACAAAGACCAAAAAAUAAGCAGGUAUAUCCAUUGGUAACUCUCCAUUUCUCUGACCACAGGUAGAGAAACUAGUAGGAACACACAUCUUAUUGAGAACUGCAGAAUAUUUUCUUUGAAUGAACUGAAAGGAAGAAAAGAAGAAGAGAGAGAGAGACAGAAUUUCACCAGAAGAUUGUGUUAUGAAGAAAAUUUUUGAACUGUUCUAGCCUGAUUGUUACCUUAUUUAAAACCAGCUAAGUGCUCUCUCUCUCCCAAUUUUUUUAACUAAAAAAUAAAAGAGGCAAUGCAAA